UGCAGUCGAACGGUAACAGAACUAGCUUGCUAGUUGCUGACGAGUGGCGGACGGGUGAGUAAUACUUAGGGAUCUGCCUCUGUGUGGGGGAUAACUAUUGGAAACGAUAGCUAAUACCGCAUAACGUCUACGGACCAAAGAGGGCUUCGGCUCUCGCGCAGAGAGGAACCUAAGCGAGAUUAGCUUGUUGGUGAGGUAAAGGCUCACCAAGGCGACGAUCUCUAGCUGUUCUGAGAGGAAGAUCAGCCACACUGGAACUGAGACACGGUCCAGACUCCUACGGGAGGCAGCAGUGGGGAAUAUUGCACAAUGGGGGCAACCCUGAUGCAGCCAUGCCGCGUGUGUGAAGAAGGCCUUCGGGUUGUAAAGCACUUUCAGUUGUGAGGAAAGGUUAGUAGUUAAUACCUGCUAGCUGUGACGUUAACAACAGAAGAAGCACCGGCUAACUCCGUGCCAGCAGCCGCGGUAAUACGGAGGGUGCGAGCGUUAAUCGGAAUUACUGGGCGUAAAGCGCACGCAGGCGGUCUGUUAAGCUAGAUGUGAAAGCCUCACGCUCAACGUGGGAGGGUCAUUUAGAACUGGCAGACUAGAGUCUUGGAGAGGGGAGUGGAAUUCC
rnacentral:rRNA from 1 species